rfam:Haemonchus contortus, ISE/inbred ISE, WGS project CAVP01000000 data, contig: Hcontortus_28255
GGCCCAAAUUUGAAGUAGAGUAGAUUAGUAUGGUCAGCUAAUCUUACUAAUUUACUUUACUUCAAGUUUGUACCC